GUAGUACUCCCUCUGUCCGGAAAUACUUGUCAUCAAAAUGAAUAAAACGGGAUGUAUCUAGAUGUAUAUUAGUUCUAGAUACAUCUUUUUUAUCCAUUUUGAUGACAAGUAUUUUCAGACGGUGGGAGUACUUG
rnacentral:pre_miRNA from 1 species